rnacentral:pre_miRNA from 1 species
UUAACUAAUGUGCAUGGAGUUCGAACGUUUGACUAUGUUUGCCGCUAGGGGCGCUGUUCCAACUUCAUACAAAUUUGAUUUA